CAGCAGACGGCAAAGAAUAAACGCAGCCAUGGACACGGAUUGAUGACUUGGCACACACCCACCCACAACCCACACAGCCCCGGGCCCCACCCACGAUGCACACACACCCACGCCCAACCCACGCACACACACCCACGUUGGAUCCCAUCUCUCUUGUCUUCCUCGAUCCCCUUUCUCCACCCCACGCCGCCGCCAGAUUCCGGCGAUCCCCGUGGUUCCCCACCACCUAGCUCUCCUCCUCGAGGUCACCUCUCCCCGCUCACCAUCUCCACUGACCGGUUUCUCUCCUCGCCCAGGAGAGCCAUGCCCAGGCACUGGUGGUGGUGCGCUGCGAGGAGGUCCCAGCGGCGUCGAGCUGCUAUUGCUGCAGGCACAGCGACGUCGGCGUGGUCAGGAUGGUUGCAGCCCUUCAAGAUUCUCAAUGGCGGCGUCUCAGCGCUGAUGGCGGAGUCGACGGUGAGCAUCGGCGGGUACAUGGCGUCGGGGUACCGGAGGGUGGCUGGCGUGCAGCUCUACAUCAACCACCUCAAGCCCGCCCGCCUCGGUGACCGCAUCGAGGCCAAGGUGAACCCCAUCCGGUACCUCGACCCUGACACGUACUUGGACAAGGACCAGCUGCUGGACGCGGUGCAUUGGAUCCGACAGGCGGUGGGGCUCGCCUGUGGCCUGCUCUAGGGCGCCGUCCCCCUCGUCGGUGCCUUCUAGAUCCUCCCGUCAGUCCCUCCCUCCCUUCAUCCUCAAAGCCCCAACCUUCUUCUUUCCCUUCAGACAUAGGCAUAGAUUCAGGUUCAUUGUUAACUGAAUUCGUAAGCUCAUCUCACACUGAAUUUGGGACCUCUUUCCCAUCGUGUAGUAUAGUACUAGCAAGUCGGUCACACAUGAAUUAGUAGAUGAGUCUAGCGAUUCUGUUAACUGAAUUAUUUUAGAAACCCGCUUUGUUUUGCCUUUCAUUGAUCACCGCGACAGGUCAGAGGAGGUGAAGUGAGUGUUAGAUUCGCUGCGAAUUGGAGGUUCGUUAGCCUCGUCUCUGAGCACUCGUCACCAGCUCAGCAACAAGCAUCGCAGUGGUUAUGCGCUUUCUCUGGUAUUAGAUGUGAUAUGAGCUGUUCAAUCAACUCUUUGUUUGGCGUGGCCGUCAGCAAACCAGCAAACCAACGCAAUUGCCGCAUAUAUGUAGUGGGAUAUGAACUGCUCUUAGUUUCUCUGUGCUCAUUAUUAGUUCAAUAAAUUGACAAAUGGCUGCUGAUGUAUGAUUGACUGGCUUUGUUCAUCUUGCUAGAGUUACUUGGAAAUAUUGACAUUCUCAAACCAAAUAUGAGGUGCCCUUUAUUCACUCCAUGGGAGUAUAUCCUGGCUUGCCAUUGGAAGGUGGCGUAUGGACUAAGACUCCUUUUUCUUAAGCUGGCCAUGUGAUUCCUUUUGCCUAUAAGCUGGCCAUGCCUUUGGCCGUGUGGACUCUGUAUGCCUUUACGCCGCCAUCAAGUAGAGAUGGAGUAGGAGGACGAGCAGCGACAGCAAAUCAGUCUGAUGAUGACAGGGUGCGGGAGGCAAUGGUGAUCAUGCUGAUGGCAUGAAGAAGGCUGAUGACCACAACCUGGACCUGUUGGCAUUUCGAGAUGGCAAACAUAGGCGGCGUGGAGACAACAACCUGGACCACCCACCUCCCUUGCCUUCUUAAUUUUGGUUGUGGUGGUUGCAUCACCGGCGCGGUCGCAAAUCAGUAUGUAGUGUGCUUGUGGUGUUGGGUCUGGACUGCAGUGUCCAUCCAGUAGGUUAGGUGCUGUUGCUGCUAGAUCCCAUGAUGCUCACCUAAGUUUUGUGUUAUGUGGAGGCCAACCUUUGUGAUCUUAUUCGUCGACACUUGUGUGAUCUCAUCUUACUUUGUGAUACAAGUCGUAUGAUAUAUAUGUUUUUAUGGAUGAUCUUGUCU